GCCGAGGUGGCGGAAUCCGGUAACGCGCCAGAACGUUUGGCGAAACUCGAGAUCUGGUUUCCGCAAGGAAGUUAGGGUUCAAAUCCCUACCUCGGCG
rnacentral:tRNA from 1 species